UUUAUUAGUUCUAGAUUUCCUGCAGAGAAACUCUGGUAUCUUAAUUCUCUCAAGUUGAGGAUCAAAGACAUGAUUGAGAGAUAUUUUAUGUAUUUAAAAACAUUUUGAGAAGUGGUCCAUUGGCUGGACCAGGUUACCAGAAGAGAACAUGACACAGAAAAGAUUUAAAAAAACUUCUCAAGCAUGAUUCGCUAAGGCAAAUGUCACCCUGGAAAAUCUCUUUCUUACUCUGCACCUUAAUUCUGACUAUGUACCAUACUUGGCCACCCCUUGAAUUUUGAGAAAUAAGAGAAGAUGGGAGGUCCUGGAGGAUGCAGUAAACGCUGAUUUGAUGCUUAAGAGUCAAUUUCAGAGAGAUCCUCCAAAAUGAAGUUGGUUAUGUCUUCAC